GUAGGUGGCAAGCGUUGUCCGGGAAUUAUUGGGGCGUAAAGCGCGCGCAGGCGGUUCUUUAAGUCUGAUGUGAAAGCCCACGGGCUCAACCGUGGAGGGUCAUUGGAAACUGGAGAACUUGAGUACAGAAGAGGAAAGCGGAAUUCCACGUGUAGCGGUGAAAUGCGUAGAGAUGUGGAGGAACACCAGUGGCGAAGGCGGCUUUCCGGUCUGUAACUGACGCUGAGGCGCGAAAGCGUGGGGAGCAAACAGGAUUAGAUACCCUGGUAGUCCACGCCGUAAACGAUGAGUGCUAAGUGUUAGGGGGUUUCCGCCCCUUAGUGCUGCAGCUAACGCAUUAAGCACUCCGCCUGGGGAGUACGGCCGCAAAGGCUGA
rnacentral:rRNA from 1 species